AUUGAACGCUGGCGGCAGGCCUAACACAUGCAAGUCGAACGAGUGGCGGACGGGUGAGUAAUGUCUGGGAAACUGCCUGAUGGAGGGGGAUAACUACUGGAAAAGGUAACUAAUACCGCAUACCAUCGGAUGUGCCCAGAUGGGCUUAGCUAGUAGGUGGGGGACAGGCUCACCUAGGCGAAGAUCCCUAGCUGGUCUGAGAGGAUGACCAGCCACACUGGAACUGAGACACGGUCCAGACUCCUACGAGGGGCAGCGUUGGGGAAUAUUGCACAAUGGGCGCAAGCCUGAUGCAGCCAUGCCGUGUGUAUGAAGAAGGCCUUCGGGUUGUAAAGUACUUUCAGCGGGGAGGCGUUACCCGCAGAAGAAGCACCGGCUAACUCCGUGCCAGCAGCCGCGGUAAUUC
rnacentral:rRNA from 1 species